rnacentral:rRNA from 1 species
GACGAACGCUGGCGGCGUGCUUAACACAUGCAAGUCGAACGGAAAGGCCCUGCUUUUGUGGGGUGCUCGAGUGGCGAACGGGUGAGUAACACGUGAGUAACCUGCCCUUGACUUUGGGAUAACUUCAGGAAACUGGGGCUAAUACCGGAUAGGAGCUCCUGCUGCAUGGUGGGGGUUGGAUCGUUUCGGCGGGUGGGGAUGGACUCGCGGCUUAUCAGCUUGUUGGUGGGGUAGUGGCUUACCAAGGCUUUGACGGGUAGCCGGCCUGAGAGGGUGACCGGCCACAUUGGGACUGAGAUACGGACCAGACUGCUAAGGGAGGCAGCAGUGGGGAAUAUUGCACAAUGGGAGGAAGCCUGAGGCAGCAACGCCGGGUGCGGGAUGACGGCCUGCGGGUUGUAAACCGCUUUAGGCUGUGACGAAGCGUGAGUGACGGUAAUGGGUAAAGAAGCACCGGCUAACUACGUG